rnacentral:rRNA from 1 species
UGGGCAACCUGCCCCUAGCUCUGGGAUAACUCCGGGAAACUGGAGCUAAUACCGUAUGUGCCCGAAAGGGGAAAGAUUCAUCGCCCUUGGAUCGGCCCGCGUCUGAUUAGCUAGUUGGCGGGGUAAUGGCCCACCAAGGCGACGAUCAGUAGCUGGUCUGAGAGGAUGACCAGCCACACUGGGACUGAGACACGGCCCAGACUCCUACGGGAGGCAG